rnacentral:lncRNA from 1 species
CUCGGCUGCGCGCACGGCGCCCUUUCCCCCGCGGCCUCUGCCCGCGCGGCUGUCCCUGGCCGAGCUCCGGACACGUGCGAGGGAUCAGCCAUGGACUUCAGGCAGAUGCAACCCCUGGAUGAUUCGAUAGUAGAGCAUCCUUGGCCUCCAGAAGAAAGGAAAUUGUGGCAGGCAGGCAGUCUUCUCAUGGAGUUUGCAGGUAAAUAUCCCUAUUCCUUCAAACAUUGACUACCUCCUAUGUACCAG